UCUUCAUCUGCUCACUGCCUUCACAGAAUUUGCAAGUGUGACAAAGUAUUUCAUCCCUUUACAGGAUUAGGAUGCGGACUUGCCUCUCCCCGAGGUGCUGCUGGCUGGGUCACUGCCUGCUGGAGGGUGUCUCUAAGACCUGACUUAACCUGAAGCAUGCACUUCUUCAGGAGGUCUGCAGCAGGGCUGGAGGACUGCAAACAUUGCAUCCCUUCCCUCCUGUCAGCUGCUGCCACAUGACUGCAGUGCCUGUGCUGUGCUCUCAGCUCCCUCACCCUGAAAUGUCCCUCCUGGUGGUUUGUUAGGAGGUGCCAUGGAGCAGGCUUUGCUUUUGGUAGCAGUAUCCCUUGUUACUAUGUCAUUCAUGAAGAAGAUGGGCUUAUCCUUGCCUUUAUUCCACUGGGACCAGCUGCUCUACCCACAGGCACCAAAAGUGGCAAAUCUUCCAUAACCUUUUUUAAUUUUCAAUUGAAGCUCUACAUCACCUCACAUGAACUUCUUGGGGUUUUUUGAGAGGUAAAGACAUUUUUUCUUUAUUUUUUUUAAGAAACAACACCAAAUAAAAACCCAAACACCACAGCCCAACAAACCCAAAACUAACAGAAAAAAACAUCAAAACCCACACAUUGAACCCAAGUUGGAGAAACAACUGCAUUGUGUGACUGAUACAGUCCAUGGGAGUACAAAGCAUUCCAGUCUGAUCUUGCACAUCCACUCCCUGUACCUAUUAAUAGCUUUUAGGCAUGGGCAUAGACAUGGAGAUGGGCAAGAGUAGUUUGUCAUGCAAACAUUAAUCUGGGAUCCAUUUUCUAGAACUAAAGAUUUCAGUGUGAUAAAAUGGAUAUUUUAAAGCAUUGGGGGAGAUAAGAGGGGAUGUAACUGCCCUUAAACUGAGGUUGGAUUAGGCAGUCUCACAUCUUGGAGUCUGCCAGUAAAUAGCCAAGUUUAUGAGCAAUGGAAAUAUGUCCUUCUUAAUCUGUAAAAAGAAAAGGACUGUUUUGAAAAUCUAUCAAUCUUUCAAAUCAUCUUAAGGCAUAUUGAUGCUGAAUCAUCACAGGGGAAUUCAACAGGGGUGUUCUUAUUGGUGAUCUAAAAAUACAAAUGUGGUUGAAUACGUGCAAAACUGUAUCUUAUUCCAGUUGUCUUUAUUACUGCAAUAAAUGAUACCAACUCUCUCUUC